rnacentral:rRNA from 1 species
GGCGGACGGGUGAGUAAUACCUAGGAAUCUGCCUGAUAGUGGGGGAUAACGUUCGGAAACGGACGCUAAUACCGCAUACGUCCUACGGGAGAAAGCAGGGGACCUUCGGGCCUUGCGCUAUCAGAUGAGCCUAGGUCGGAUUAGCUAGUUGGUGAGGUAAUGGCUCACCAAGGCUACGAUCCGUAACUGGUCUGAGAGGAUGAUCAGUCACACUGGAACUGAGACACGGUCCAGACUCCUACGGGAGGCACAUGGGGAAUAUUGGACAAUGGGCGAAAGCCUGAUCCAGCCAUGCCGCGUGUGUGAAGAAGGUCUUCGGAUUGUAAAGCACUUUAAGUUGGGAGGAAGGGCAUUAACCUAAUACGUUGGUGUCUUGACGUUACCGACAGAAUAAGCACCGGCUAACUCUGUGCCAGCAGACCGCGGUAAUACAUAGGUGCAAGCGUUAAUCGGAAUUACUGGGCGUAAAGCGCGC